UACAGGGGGGGCAAGCGUUGUUCGGAAUUACUGGGCGUAAAGGGCUCGUAGGUGGCCAACUAAGUCAGACGUGAAAUCCCUCGGCUUAACCGGGGAACUGCAUCUGAUACUGGAUGGCUUGAGAUUGGGAGAGGGAUGCGGAAUUCCAGGUGUAGCGGUGAAAUGCGUAGAUAUCUGGAGGAACACCGGUGGCGAAGGCGGCAUCCUGGACCAACACUGACACUGAGGAGCGAAAGCCAGGGGAGCAAACGGG
rnacentral:rRNA from 1 species